AGAGUUUGAUCCUGGCUCAGGAUGAACGCUGGCGGCGUGCCUAACACAUGCAAGUCGAGCGAGAUUAAUGCAAGUGGAGACUUCGGUCAAAGCGACCAUUAUGAAAGCGGCGGACGGGUGAGUAACGCGUGAGCAAUCUGCCCCAUACAAAGGGAUACCCACUGGAAACGGUGAUUANNNNNNNNNNNNNNNNNNNNNNNNNNNNNNNNNNNNNNNNNNNCUGAGGUGGUAUAAGAUGGACCCGCGUCUGAUUAGCUAGUUGGUGAGGUAAUGGCUCACCAAGGCGACGAUCAGUAGCCGACCUGAGAGGGUGAACGGCCACACUGGAACUGAGACACGGUCCAGACUCCUACGGGAGGCAGCAGUGGGGAAUAUUGCACAAUGGGCGAAAGCCUGAUGCAGCAACGCCGCGUGAGUGAUGAAGGUCUUCGGAUCGUAAAACUCUGUCCUUGGUGAAGAAAAAAAUGACGGUAGCCAAGGAGGAAGCCCCGGCUAACUACGUGCCAGCAGCCGCGGUAAUACGUAGGGAGCAAGCGUUGUCCGGAAUCACUGGGCGUAAAGGGUGCGUAGGCGGCUGAUCAAGCCAGGGGUGAAAGGCAAUAGCUUAACUAUUGUGAGCCUUUGGAACUGGUCAGCUUGAGUGCAGGAGAGGAAAGCGGAAUUCCUAGUGUAGCGGUGAAAUGCGUAGAUAUUAGGAGGAACACCCGUGGCGAAGGCGGGUUGCUGGACCAAAACUGACGCUGAGACGCGAAAGCGUGGGUAGCAAACAGGAUUAGAUACCCUGGUAGUCCACGCUGUAAACGAUGAAUACUAGGUGUCGACUCUUCCCCUUCCGUGCCGCAGUUAACGCAAUAAGUAUUCCGCCUGGGGAGUACGGCCGCAAGGUUGAAACUCAAAGGAAUUGACGGGGGCCCGCACAAGCAGCGGAGCAUGUGGUUUAAUUCGAAGCAACGCGAAGAACCUUACCAGGACUUGACAUCCCUCUGACCGGUCCGUAACGGGACCUUCCCUUCGGGGACACAGAGACAGGUGGUGCAUGGUUGUCGUCAGCUCGUGUCGUGAGAUGUUGGGUUAAGUCCCGCAACGAGCGCAACCCUUGCCUUUAGUUGCCAGCACAUUAAGUUGGGCACUCUAAGGAGACUGCCGGUGACAAACCGGAGGAAGGUGGGGAUGACGUCAAAUCAUCAUGCCCCUUAUGAUCUGGGCUACACACGUGCUACAAUGGCCGGUACAACGAGAAGCGAAACCGCGAGGUGAAGCAAAUCUUUUAAAGCCGGUCCCAGUUCGGAUUGCAGGCUGAAACUCGCCUGCAUGAAGUUGGAGUUGCUAGUAAUCGCGGAUCAGCAUGCCGUGGUGAAUGCGUUCCCGGGUCUUGUACACACCGCCCGUCACACCAUGGAAGUUGGGGGGACCCGAAGCCAGUGAUCCAACCGUAAGGAGGAAGCUGUCGAAGGUAAAACCAAUGACUGGGGUGAAGUCGUAACAAGGUAACC
rnacentral:rRNA from 1 species